rnacentral:piRNA from 1 species
UCCNGUAGCUUCAUUCUUACCUCCUUUUACCC